ACAUAAACAGCUUCCUCCGAAGCCUGGUAAAUGGCUUGAUGAUUGGUCGCUAUUACUCGCCCUGAGGUGGAAGGGGGGAGACUCUUUAAAGUGCGUCAGAGGGAGGCGAGCGCCUGGGAACCCGGAGGCCUGGAUCCCGGCCGAGAGUGGAACGGAGUCGGCGCCGCGGCCUCGGCCGAGCUCCCGCGCCCGCCAGGCCGCCCGCUCGCCGCGCCUUCGCCCCGCGCUCCUGGCCCCGCGCUCCGCGGCGCCCGCUGCGGCUUCGCCUCCUCCUCUUUCGCCUCCUCCUCUUCCUCCGGCCUCCUCUCCUCCUUCUCCUCCUCCUCCUCCUCCUCUUCCUCCUUCUCCUCCUCCUCCUCUCCUUCCUCCUCCUCUUUCCCCACCUCCUCCCCCUCUGCCACCGCCUCCUCCUUCGCCACCACCACUCCCUCCGGGGCACCCCGGUCCCUGCAGAGUCCCCGGCCCGCGCCGCCUCUGCCGCGGCCCCCUGGAUCCCGAGCCGGUGGGACGCACGGACGCACGGACGGACCCGCGGGUCCCUGCGCCCAGCUCUCGGCCGCCGCCCCCCGCGGCCCCGCGUCGGGGAAGCGGGGCUCGCCCCCGGAGCCCCGCGAGGGCUCACAUGGAAAAGCACCAAGGAAUGUUCAGAAAACAUGUGAAGACUCUGCCUUUUCUAUUUAUGUAAUUAGCCCAAGAAACUUGCUUUGCGUACUUUCUUCAACUGCCCCAACAUUCUCCCAGAGCUCUGUUGCCUCCUCCAAGGCGCUGGGGUCUGGCUGACUUGAAAGUGUGAAUCAAUUUCAGCUGCAAAGAUCUUGAGCUCCUGGAUUUUAAGCGUGAACCCCUUGGUGAAGCAAGAGCUCCAGGAUGGCUGCCCGGCUUCGUGUCCACGCGUCCCUGUUCACCAGUGAGCCUUCCGACGCCAGGAUUCGUCUGCCCAAAGAUCCCCAUUUGGUACUUGGGUUGGGUACUGGGGAUUUUACCUCUUUCCUUUAUUUACAUCAGAGGCAACAGGCUGUGGCCUGUAGGCCUGGGGUCCGCAGAAAGGCAGCUGGGAAAGGUCUCCAUGGCCCACCACCUUAAAACAAUCUAAACAAUCCUCCGAUUCAGAGACAAUCCCAGAAGCCAAAAUGCCAAACUAAGAAGGGGAUUGGGUGGGGG
rnacentral:lncRNA from 12 species